CAUCUAUAUAUUUUAAGUGUAAUGAGUGCGCUCUUUUCCUUUAGGUCGAUUUUUUAGAACUAAUAUAUAGCUAAUACUUAUAAUCUACAAGUAGUAUCAGAGCUAGUGGUGCGAGUUUGAUUCCCACAUAGAGCAUGUGUAAGUCAGAAGAUUGUUGACUGAGAAAUAUGUCCAACGUCCUGUCCCAUGGCAUGGGCCAGGUUGAGUCUAAUCACUGUCGAACCUACAAGUGCCAUACAUCUAUACACCUUAAGUCUGAUAAGUUUGGCUUUUCAGUUGGCUAGAUCUUUUGUAAUUGUUAGUUAGUAUUUACGAUCCACACUUGCUCAUCCUAACGGGAAUGAUGCUGAUGGUUUUAAAGAAACAGUUAAAAAUAUAUAGAGAGUUCUCAUUUAUAGAAUUUUUUUGAAAU
rnacentral:lncRNA from 1 species